GUGCCAGCAGGCGGCGGUAAAUACGUAGGGUGGCAAAGCCGUUGUCCGGGAUUUUAUUGGGACGUAAAAGCGCGCGCCAGGCGGGGUAGGUAAGUCCUGGUGUUAAAGGCCGGGAGCUCAACUCCCGGUUCGCAUCGGAAAACUGUGUAGCUUGAGUGCAGAAGAGGAAAGCGGUAUUCCACGUGUAGCGGUGAAAUGCGUAGAGAUGUGGAGGAACACCAGUGGCGAAGGCGGCUUUCUGGUCUGUAACUGACGCUGAGGCGCGAAAGCGUGGGGAGCAAACAGGAUUAGAUACCCUGGUAGUCC
rnacentral:rRNA from 1 species